rnacentral:lncRNA from 1 species
UUGGACCGAUAUUUCCCUGAGACAUUGUUAGAUGAAGGUAGGAAGGCUAGAAGGUUCGAGUGGGGUCUCCGCCCAAAGAUCAUACAGUAGUUGUUUAUGUUGGAGUUCAAGACUUAUUUGGCUAUUCUGGCCAAGGCACAGCUAGUGGAGAGGAGCUUUCGCACUUUCUCUCAAGCAGCAGGGAACCUUAUACCCUCAACUCCACCCCACAGACCAGCACCUACUGCGCUUUUUCAAUAGAACAAGAGGCCCAGGUCAAUGAUCCAAGCUCCCCCUCGGACUCUAGUGGUAGGACUCGGUAAGAUCUGUCAGCAUUGUGGUAGGGAUCAUGGGUACCGACCUUGUUAUCGUCUCAACAACACCUGUCGUAUAUGUGGUAGUGCCUAACAUUAUGCGAGGGAGUGCCU